AAACUGCGAUACGUAGUGUGAAUUGCAGAAUUUUGUGAGUCAUCGAAUCCUUGAACGCACAUGGCGCUCUUGGGCAAUCCCGAGAGCAUUGUUGUUUGAGCAUCUUUUUGAUUAUUCUGUGAUGAGUCUCUCAGUGCUUGUAAAGAGCAGUGGAGUGGCUUUAAAGGAGUUGCAGCAAACAAAUAUAGUGGUGGUGGUGGUGGAAACACAGCCAGCAACAGCGAUCCUCGGUAAAUAUCGCGGUAAUCGCCCAUUGCAGAGCUAUGAAAAACACAAACGCCACGAAACCCAAAAAUAAGAUCUCAAAUCAACAAAGAGUACCCGCUGAACUUAA
rnacentral:misc_RNA from 1 species